rnacentral:rRNA from 1 species
GGAUUAGAUACCCUGGUAGUCCAUGCCGUAAACGAUGUCUACUAGCCGUUGGGGCCUUUGAGGCUUUAGUGGCGCAGCUAACGCGAUAAGUAGACCGCCUGGGGAGUACGGUCGCAAGACUAAAACUCAAAUGAAUUGACGGGGGCCCGCACAAGCGGUGGAGCAUGUGGUUUAAUUCGAUGCAACGCGAAGAACCUUACCUGGUCUUGACAUAGUAAGAACUUUCCAGAGAUGGAUUGGUGCCUUCGGGAACUUACAUACAGGUGCUGCAUGGCUGUCGUCAGCUCGUGCCG